ensembl:lncRNA
AUAUUAAUAGAAAAAUGCCUUUUUUAGGGCGGUUCAGAUCCUGGAAAGAGAAAGCACAGUAGUGACUGAAAAUGUAGAGUGGAAUUGAAAACCAGGGGCCACAAGUAAACUGGCAGUUGCAUUCUGCUCCUAGCUCUAACGUUAAUCCCUUGUUGGCACCUUCGGAGGAAUUUCUAAAAGCCAUAAUCCAGUGGGUCAAAGUGGGAGGACGGCUUCCUCCUAGUCAGCCCUUGUACAGACACACGUUACAGAGAAUUCUGAAGGGGAAGUAGAUUGUGGAGCCUGUAGCUGGAGAGGCGGAAAGAAAAGACAAAUGGCCUGUCGUGAGAUUAUUCCUUUCCAGAAAGGGAGGGCCUUGAAGAAAUCUCUUGAUUCUUUAGAGGAAGAAAAUAAUGGGAAUUGUACAGGGUUGAGAUUUCAAAAUCUCAACCUGAUGCUAAUUUUCAGCGUUCUGCAUUACAGUAUAAAAUUUCAGACCACCAUGACUGUAGUGUCAUUAAUGAAAUAAGAGAAAAUAAGGCACAUUUCAAGAGGAAGUGCCAUUGAGCCUAUUUGACUUUUUUUUUUUUUUCUUUUUUUGCGGUACGCGGGCCUCUCACUGUUGUGGCCUCUCCCGUUGCGGAGCACAGGCUCCGGACGCGCAGGCUCCGCGGCAUGUGGGAUCCUCCGGGACGGGGGCAUGAACCCGCGUCUCCUGCAUCGGCAGGCAGACUCUCAACUACAGUGCCACCAGGGACGCCCGAGCCUAUUUGACUUUUGAUUGAAGCAAAUACUUUAACAAGAUCCACUCCCCAUAAUUCGCAGCCCCCAAAGUUAUAAACAAACUAUAGAAGGACCUGGGGAUUCAAUGAUGGGGAUGUUGAUAAAUGAGUUCUGAAGUAGAGCAUUGGAAAUAGACAAUUAGAGAAAAUCCAUUAGUAUUUUUCUUUUGUUUAUAAUACUGGAAUUCAUACUGAAUGGUGACCACUUGAUAUGACUAAUUCAGGGAAUAUAUAUUUUUCUAUGAAAGCUAUGAAUGUGACUAUCAAAACUUUUUCUCAUUUUUACUUUCAUGUAGCAGAAUUUACAGAGAUGGCCAAAAUGUGCCUCACUAUGAGGCAGAUCUUAGUUUUAAUGACAUAGAAAAUAAAAAGUAUAAAGAUCAAAACAGUCAUAUUUUUAGAUGAUAGUCACAUCCUCUUACGUUUCUCUAUAGCACCUUAAAAGAACUUUAUGAACUUAUUACAAAUUUAUUACAGUCUCAUCACAAUGGCAGCAUGUCUGGGCUAUUUCAGUCCUUCACUAGGAUUGGAAAAUCUGGUCUUGAUACUAUAAAGAACUUAUUUGCAAUGAGGUUUAAUUUGUUAAUAGUUGAAAUUAAAAUCACCAGAUUAAAUGAACGCACUGUCAAAUCUUUUUAACGUGGUAACAUGCUAUUGGAAAACUGAAGUUAGAAGCAAGCUGUUUUCCCAUUUAAAAAUAUCUGUGAAUAUUAAUAUAAGAUUUGCAUGUGUAAAUCUGAGAAAGUAAAAUAUAGAAACAAGGGUUUCUAUUCCUUUUUCAUUAGACUAAUGUAGUGCAUAUUUUUUGGUUAUACAGAUCAACUGAGUGUCUUGAUUACUUGAGAAAUUUGUGGUUGCAUGUCUGCUUAAAAAAAGGCUUUUUGUUGUCAUUUUCUUUCUCUUAGCAUAAGCCAGAGUAUUUCUAACCUACGGAGUCUGUGUUCUUUGCUCUGUUUAUAGUAUAUUUUCAUCUGAAAUACUGAUACCAGUAACUUGUUACUAGUACAGGUGAGAAAGGGAAGAAUUCCUAAUAAACUGCUAAUAUUUUUAGGUGCAUGAGGUUUGAUUUUUGAUCUUUAAUGAAAUGUUUAAACCCAUUUUCAGUCCCAUAUUUACACUUAAUUUCAUAGAAACUUCUUAUUGGGUAUGCUGUGUCCUCAACAAAUGCCAUAAAAUGAAAAUGUUAAAAUCUCAGUCUAAGACUAUUUUAUUCAAAGUUUUUUGACAGGUUCAGUGUCAUGAAAAUUUCAUUUUGAAAUUAUAACUUACUGUGGUGGGGUUAAUUUCUGUCAGUACUUGAGAUUGUAUCAUCAGCCUUCUUUCAUAGUGGAAUCCCUUUUCUGGUUGAGUAUUUAAUUUGAACAUAUACGUGCCUUUUUUUAAGUGUUUGGCCUAAAUUUAUUGUAACUGCAUGAAGUAAGCAUUUGUUUAAAAUUUAACAUUCUUGUAAAACUCUCUCUCUCUGAAAUGUAUGCAGAAUUUUAAUCAUGGCUAAAUGUACUAUCAUUACCCUAUUUAUAAUUUUAAUCAGCUUUCCACAAGUGGUUUUUUUAAUAAUGUAAUUGAAAUCAAAUUUAGGAUCUUACUGGUAAAAAUGAAGCUAUUUUAUUGAACAGAAGGACUAAGUGAUGCCCAAACUUUUAUUCUGCAAUUCAGUCAUUCUGUAAAACCAAGUAACCCAGGAGUGUUAAUGCAGUUUUAAAAUAUUACACUGGUAAUCUUGUAUAUUCUAGCUUGCUAGCUAUACCCAAAGUUUCCUAAGCUCUAACUGGAUAGCAAUUUGGUCUUAUUAUUUAUACUUAAAUGUUCAAAUUUCUUCAAAACUCAAUAUAUUAUUUUGCAGUAAUGUGUAAAAUUGCUAAAUACUGAUUUUAUGGAAAGGCUUGUUCCACGUCUUUAAACAAGAUGUUUCUAGCAACAGAUUUCUGAGAUUUUUUCUUUAAUCUCAAGAGGCUCCCCCGACCCCAAAUUAGCACUUAACUUUGUUACUAUCUAUUGAUAGGGUUUCAGAAUGUAAGCAAUGCCCUCUAGUUUCAGCACAACUAAAUCUAGGUGAAUGGACUUUUUUUUUUUUUUCCGUUGCAAUACUGGGUAUUUUCAUUUAAACUAUGGUAUAGUGUCCCUUUUCUCUCCUGCUUGGAUUAGUGCUCCGUUAACUUUGUCUCGAUUAAAUUUGAAAGAUGAGAACCAAUUCAAAAAUUACGUACUUUGCUUAUUAAUGAAAGGCUAUUUAAAACGAAAACAAACUUUGUAUUAGAAAUGGCCAAGUCUUAAAAAAGAAGCAACUAUUUUUGCAUUCUCAUUAAGUCUUUUAGAUCAGCUUGACAAGCAUCAGCUUUUGAAAUGUGACUUCCUAUUGCCAGAGUAAAGGCUCAUUUUUAC